AUUGAACGCUGGCGGCAGGCCUAACACAUGCAAGUCGAGCGCGAAAGUCUUCGGAUGAGUAAAACGGCGGACGGGUGAGUAAUGCAUGGGAAUCUGCCUGGUAGUGGGGGACAACGUUUCGAAAGAGACGCUAAUACCGCAUACGCCCUACGGGGGAAAGGGGGGGAUCUUCGGACCUCUCGCUAUCAGAUGAGCCCAUGUCAGAUUAGCUAGUUGGUAGGGUAAAGGCCUACCAAGGCGACGAUCUGCAACUGGUCUGAGAGGAUGAUCAGUCACAAUGGAACGGAGAAACGGUCCAGACUCCUACGGGAGGAAGCAGUGGGGAAUAUUGGACAAUGGGGGCAACCCUGAUCCAGCCAUGCCGCGUGUGUGAAGAAGGCCCUAGGGUUGUAAAGCACUUUCAGUGGGGAGAAAGGUUGUUCAGUUAAUACCUGAAUGAAUUGAUGUUACCCACAGAAGAAGCACCGGCUAACUCCGUGCCAGCCGCCGCGGUAA
rnacentral:rRNA from 1 species